rnacentral:lncRNA from 10 species
UGGCUGUUGCCCUUAUUUUUUUUUUUUACCUAUGUCUUCACAGAUAGAUUAGUGAGAAACAUCUUCCUUUAUUUACUAAAUAAAAGAAUUUAAAAUAAGAUAAAAUUGAAAGAGGAGACUUACACUGUCUACAGAUGGUAGCAUACCGUGGCUGAGUGUGGUGGCUUACGCUUAUAAUCCCAGCACUGUGGGAGGCCGAGGUGGGAGCAUCACUUGUGCCCAGGAAUUUGAGACCAGCCUGGGCAACAUAGCGAGACCCUGUCUCUAAAAAUAAAUUUAAAAAAACUAGGCCAGGCACGGUGGCUCACGCCUGUAAUCCUAGCACUUUGGGGGGCCAAGGUGGGCGGAUCACUUGAGGUCAGGAGUUUGAGACCAGCCUGGCCAACAUGGCAAAACCCUGUCUCUACUAAAAAUACAAAAAUUAGCCAGGCGUGGUGGCGUACGCCUGUAGUCUCCGCUACUUGGGAGGCUGAGGCAGAAGAAUUGCUUGAACCUGGGAGGCAGAGGUUGCAAUGAGCUGAGAUUGUGCCAUUGCACUCCAGCCUGGGUGACACAGUGAGACUCCAUCUCAAAUAAAUAAAAAUAAAAAGUAAAUAAAGGUGGUAGUAUGUCAUGACCUGAGGAGUAAGAUAAACUCAACUUCCAAGGACCAAAAUGACAAUGACAGAUGACAUACACACACAGAUUGGAAGAUGUGUCAAUCAUUACACUAGUUACUUGAUGGAAGAAAUUUUGCAUGAUCUUAAAACAUUUUUUGCUUGCCAUUGCUCUGUAUUUUCCAAAGUCAAUAUAAAAAGUGUGUGCCAUUUGUAUACUGGGAAAUGCUAAGCUGAUUUAAAAAACAGAUGUAAACCGUUUUUAGUCAUUGAAUGAAUCACUGAAGGCGAUGGUGGUGCCUCCUGGGAAACAAAAAUGUUCCUUUGUCCUAAGGAGCAAACAGAGAGUAGGCCACCACUCCAGCGUGGGUGGCAGGUGAGGGUAGGGGUGGUUUCUGGUUCCCAGAGGUCUAAGAGCACCAACUUUAAGGGAAGGGAUCUAGAGUAGUAGGUUCUCUUGAAUAUUAAUCCAAUUAAGAAACAAUAAAUGAAAAAGUCAAUUUGAAAAUUCGGCAAAAAUCUUUGACAUGAGACCACUGCUGUGGGCAGUAGGGGGCUCUCAGCAGCUGGGCCAGGCUGGAGGUGGGCCAACACUUGCCCCCUGUAUGGUUGCAGAAGCCACCAAGCUGGCUGGACCAAGGCCCGUCUUCCCUCAGUCCAAGAGGGCAAGAGCAGCAGACUUUCCCAGACAUUCUUGUCCUCUCCUCCCUGGUCCCUCCCACUGCAACCAGGGGGCCUGCUCCUACAGGUCAGCCAAAAGAAAGCACAGAAUCAAAUACAGAAAUUGAUGAGCCUGUAAGAAGAAAUUUGUUAAAGGAUACAAAAUUACAGCUAGACAGGAGGAAUAAGUUCUGGUGUUCUGUAGCACCACAGGGUGACUACAGUUAACAGUAAUAUGUUAUAUAGUUUCAAAUAGCAAGAAGGAGGGUAUUGAAUGUUCCCAACACAAAGAAAUGAGAGAUGUCUGAGUUGAUGGAUAUGCUAAUUAGCCUGAUCUGAUCACUAUACAUUGUAUGUAUCAAAACACCACUGUAUACUCCAUGAAUAUGUACAAUGAUUAUCUGUCAAUUAAAAAAAUAAAAUAAGACCGGGCACGGUGGCUCACGCCUGUAAUCCCAACACUUUGAGAGGACCAGACAGGAGGCUCACUUGAGGCCACGAGUUCAAGGCCAGCCUGGGAAACAGAGGAAGACCCUGUCUCUACAAAAAAAAAAAAAAAAAAUCAAAAAUUAGCUGAGUGUAGUGGCACGUGCCUGUAGUCCCAGCUACUCAGGAGGCUGAGGUGAGAGGAUCCCUUGAGCCUAGGAGUUCAAAGUUGCAGCGAGCUAUUACCACGCCACUCCACUCCAGCGUGGGCAGCAGAAUGAGACCCUGUCUCAAAAAGUACCAUACAUGCAUAAAUACAUAAUAAACAAAAUAAAAUAAAAAACACUUCAGGUGAUUCCCAUGUCCAGUCAAGGUUAAAAAACACUGUGUUAGAGGUUCCAGGAUGGGAUUCAAGUAUGUAUAUUAACAAACGUCUCCAGAGCCGAAAUCUGAAGAGCAUCCCUGCUGUAGGACCCCAACUUUGAAACUAAGAGGAUUUGUUAAACUCUAUUCUGUUUAUGUGUGUUUUUCUCAACCUAGAGAGACUCUGGGCUUCUCGGGUUCAGAGCCGUUUUGCUUAUCCUUGUCACCACAGGAUAAUGUGUGAUAAACAUUUGUUUAAUGCAUGAAUAAACACUUACAAAAAGAAACUGUGAGCCGAUCGAAGCUUCUCACUCCCGGGAAUGACCUAGGAGACAUUCUUGAAGGGAGAUAAGACCGCUGGGUGAGACUCAGGGCCCUUUUUUUUUAUGACCUUACUCUACGCCAGAACCUUGAUGUCUUCCAGGCUGCUCAGAAAUAAUCACUCCCAAGAAAACGUUUCCCAUGGGAAUGAGGAAAUGAGUAAGAUUAGGGAUUGUGCCAAAUUGCCUAACCUCACCCCAGCAAGGUUCCACCUGACACCUCGGGAAGUGCUAGAACCUUGCCUCUGGGGCGGUUUGCCAUUUCCUCCUUCUCAGGCUCUUCUCCCAGUCACAGAGACUCACAGAGCCAGCAGGAGGUGACUCAAUUCCUUUUAAUUCAUUUCAUCUUUCACUGGGAAGGCAGCACCACUCCUUUACAAUCACAAAAUAUCCCCCAGAAGAAGAGUUUAGAGUUUACAGGUGUGAUUUGUUUUUGAGGCAUUGUAGGAAAAAAAAAAAAAUUUCCAAACCUGGAUACUAUCUCUUUGCAUUUUGAAAUGGUAGACUUUUGUCAAAAACUGCCCAAGGGACCAGGAGAAUGGUGAAGUGCCUGCCUCCUGUUUUACACACAAAAAAACUGGGGAGAUUGCUGGAGAGGGAGGAAGAAAGCCUCCUUAAUAUCUGGCUAAACAUCUUUGGUGUCAACGGACAAAGCAAGGAGACAGCCACAGAAGAGAUGACACUGUGGUGAAAUUUUCCGAGAGAAAGGAGAAGAGCUAGUGUCACAGAGCAGGAGGGUGUUUUAAGAAGAAGAGGCAGAUUUGAAAGGUGUCAGGAAACUUCAAAUGAGGUGAGUUCCCAGUAAAGGCCAUUAGGUUUGGGAUUUAGGACUUUGAUGGCCGCCCUAGAGAGACCAAUGGAUGAUGAGUUCACGGUCCUCUUUAACUCAAAGCCCGGUAUACAUUCCCAUUUUAUUAAAUACUAUGGAUAUU